AUACGGGGGGUGCGAGCGUUAAUCGGAAUUACUGGGCGUAAAGAGUACGUAGGCGGUUGCUUAAGUCAGAUGUGAAAGCCCCGGGCUCAACCUGGGAACUGCAUUUGAAACUGAGUGACUAGAGUUUAAGAGAGGGGAGUAGAAUUCCGGGUGUAGCGGUGAAAUGCGUAGAGAUCCGGAGGAAUACCAGUGGCGAAGGCGGCUCCCUGGCUUAAAACUGACGCUGAGGUACGAAAGCGUGGGUAGCAAACAGGAUUAGAUACCCUAGUAGUCC
rnacentral:rRNA from 1 species